GUUCAAACCGUGGUCCAGAUACUGGGAGGCACUGUGCCUUCUGAGGAGGCCUGUUCUAUCUCUGUCCUUGUCUGUCAUCGUUCACCUUAUUGCUCUUUGAUCCCAAGAUGGUUGUGUUAAAUCUGGUCAUCUGUGGAAACAUCUAGCAGCUGUCCGUGCUGGGCGGCAGUGAGCACUGCUGUUGGUUUUGUCAGCAGGUUCCCGGUUCCCUGAAGUCAUGGAGCAUCAGCUUUGGGAUAUGCUCUUUGGCUGAGCCAGAGCGCCCGCUUCCUGAUGUUGUUUUCAUUUUGGUUCCAACCAGCUCUGAAGGGCAUCCACAUUCUCCUGUCACUGACUCGGAGGGAAGAAGUGAAUCACCGCUGGGGGAUGGAUACAGUCCAGUGAGGGGCGAGGAGGGGAAGAGGUGGAACCGGCAUCUGAGUGUGCAGUUUUUACCUGUUGAUGGUGGAGCCUGGGGAGAAGGCCCUUCACGGCCUCGGUGCGUGGACCAGGAGGCAGGCUAGGACACGUUGGGGGGCCUGUCUCCACUGAGAGCUCACGUUCAUUCCAGGAUCAGCGUGCCGGCCCCUGCCCUUCAGCUUCACCGCGCAGGGUGACUAGUGCUCUUCAGCACGGCAGUUGGUGGCCUGCGUCCCGGAGAGCCGGGCAGGGGUUCGAAGGGCGAGGCCUUGCUCCCCAGCAGCUGUGCCCUUCCUCUUUCCUUUCCCUCUCCCCCUGCUCCUUCCCUUUGCUCCUCUCCUGCCGCCUCCAUGUAAGCAGGACACUGGGGAUGGGGAUGGGGAGGAGGGUGGCACGUCCAGGUUCCUGGGUUGGCGAGGGGGACCUCUCUCCUUACCGCUGCGUGGGCCUGGUAGAGCGGCCCCCAGGGCUCUGGAGAGAGAAAGGAGGAGGGGCGCCUUGACUCCUGUGGAAUAGGAGGAGACUCCCAGAGCCCCACACCCCCUCCCCCGCCCCCAGCUCCAGGGCCCCAUCCUCAUUCCCCACUGCGCCUUCCUCCUCAGCUCUGACGACUUCUCCUGCCUCUCCUCCCACACGCACUUUGUUAUCCACUUUGUUACCCGGUCUGCUUAUUUGUCCCCUCCCUGUCCCCACUGAUGAGGAGCUGGGGCUCACAGGGCCGGGCCUUUCUGGUGGUUAAAGCAGUAAUUAGAUCCUGGUUUUUUUGCAGCGCUCCACUAUUGAGAGUAUUUCUGUGUUUCUGACAUUUCAGCUCAGGUGACAGGUUAGACUGCGCCGCCCACGUCAGUAGCCUCCAGCCACAUGUGGCUUUUUAAAUUCAAGGAAUCGAGAUGAAGCAAAAGUAGAAAUUCAGUUCCUCAGGAGCACUUGCCGUAUCCCAGGUGCCCGGUCACUGCAUGUAGCCCGUGGCUGUCCUGUUGGACCGCACCUAGUGGGCUCUCAGGUGUGCCUGCCCCCCUCCACCCCUGCUCCCAUCUUGGGAUCCUCCCUCUCUCACCUGGAACAUCGUCUGGCCUCCCCCCUUCAGUCUACCUCUCACUCUGUAGCUGAAGUGACCUCUUAGAAACAAACCUGAUCCUGGUUGCUCCCUCAUUAGACAUCUUCGCUGACUCUUCUUUGCUUCAGGCAACGAUAAGCUCCGUAGCCUGUUCUCCUGGGACCUGGACUCCUCACCUGCCAGGCCCGUGGAACCGUCGGAAGGCACCAGGUUCUUUCUUUCUUUCUUGCCUUUGCUCCUGUGUCUGGUGUACUCUUCCCCUCCCCGUCCCUCUCCUCCUUCCCCUUCCCUCUGAUCUUGAUGAGGACUUCUCACCUUCAUGGUGCUACUCAUCUGUUAAGUGUGGGACCAGCUGUCCUCCUUCCUGGGUCCCCCUCCUUGUGUCGUUCAGCACUCUAGAGGAGUCGCCCUGUUGUCUUCUGGCUUACAUCAUUCCUGAUGAAAAGUUUGGUUAUAAUUCCUUGUUCCUUUGUGGAGUGGGUCUCUUUUCUUCUGAGUGCCUUCAAGAUUUUCUCUUUUGAUUUUCAGCACUUUGAAUAUGAUAUAUCCAGAUAUCUAUUUUUUGGUUGGGGGGCUGAUAACUUCUGCUUGGGGUUCUCUGAGCCUUGUGGAUCUGCAGUUUGUUACCUUUCAUUAUUUUGGAAAAAUUCUCAGCUAUUAGCUCCUCAGAUAUUUCUUCUGUCUUGUUCUCUCUCUUUCCUUCUGAGAUUCCAGUUACGUAUGUGUGAGAUAGAUAUUGUCCCAUAGCUCUUGGAUGUUUUUUCAUUCUUUCUCUUUGGGAAAAUUUCCGUUGACCAUUCUUUCGGUUGACUGAUUUUUUUCCUCCACUGUGUCAGAUCUAUGAGGUCAAGUCUGUGAGCCAUUCAGAAGCAUUCUAUGUUUCUGUUUCUGUGUUUUGAUUUUUCCUCUGGCUUUUUCACUUUUAGUUUCCAAGUCGUUGCCAAAAUAUCUUAUCUGUUCAAGCAUGGUGUCCACCUUUUCUGUGAAGUCUUUUAGCAUGUUAAACAGACUUAUUUUAAAUUCUCAGAGUCUGAUUCUUUUGAUUGAUUUGUCUCUUGACAUGAGAUUGAUUUCUUUUUCUUCAGUCUUUUUAAAAGGAGUAUACUUUUUGAUUGAAUGCUGGACACAGUGUUCUGACUCUGGAGACAAAGGUCAGUUGUAUUUAUGCUUGGAAAUGGGCCUGCCUUUUUCUGCCACACCGUUAGCAUUGGAGGGGAGUCAGUCUGGUAUGAGUUGGGCUGUAUUUGGGUUCUACUGCUGCUCUGGUCACUUGAAUGACCUACUCGUCUUAAUUCCUAUAGCAUCACCUUGUGCUUAGCAUGGGGCUUUUCUGGAGGUUCUUUCCCUGUUGUUCCUGAUCCCCACACCCUUGUCUUUCCCCCAGGGGUAAACUAUUGUUACUUGUUGCUCUGAUUUGCUGGCUUACAGAGGAAGGAUUUUGAGAGGGAUGUGCUCUGUCAUCUGGUCCAGCUGCAGCCUUAGAGUUUCAGGCUUAGGCAGGUUCUGAGCUCCUGGGUUUUGGUGGAGCUCUCAGAGAUCCCGCAACUGCCACCACCCCGGCAGCAGCCAACUCAGCCUUGAUGGUGGAUCUUGCACAGGAGAGUUUUACUUCUCUCUUGCAGUAUUUAGGGGUCUCUGAUAGAGCCCCGGGGAUGGUUUCUGCUCCCCACUGAGGGCAGAGGUAUUUUUCUUUAACCCAUUCAAAAGCCACAUUGGUUCUUCAGCUGGGGCUCUUGGGGCAACAGGAUUGGCUCUUCUUCCUCCAGUGUCUUAAAGCAUUUUUCCCAGAGAGAGAGAAGGACCCUGGCACGGUUCCCCUUUUCCUGCAGCCCUAGCACGGAGGCACUCUGUCUCCAGCCUGCCAGCCCUCGUCCUUGUGAGAACCAGACCUGAGUGUGUUUGAUGCCAGCCCUCUCCUUGUGUCUGGCUCUGCAAGCUCACAGUUUAGUCUUUGCAGUUAGUAGUUUACCUGAAUUCUUCUUUCCCACUUGCAAGGAGCCUUGCGUCUCUGCCUGACCAUCUGGAGGGCCUGUCUUUCAGGAUUUUCUGCUUCUUGGUGGUCCUGCAGCUUUAGCUGUCUGAUGGACUUGGAGUCAGGGGAGGAUCUUGUCCAUCUAGUCUUUCCUUGUUAGUGUAGAGCCAUGCUUCUCCCAGUUCCCUGUACCCUGGGGGAAGCGGCACCACUUCCUUGUGUCUUGACAGUCAGAUGAGGCAGUAGGCAGGCCUGCAGCUUCUGGAACAUCAGGUGGUGUGCUGUAUCACAUGAUCUCUGCUGUUAGUAGAGAGCGAGGACCCUGCACAGGCUUAUGGAGGGCAUAAAGGUUAGCAAAGGGGGUGUUGGGAUGUGGAACCUCCCCAGGGCAUGCUUUGCAGAGUUACGGAGUUUUCUGGGAGCCAAAUAAGUCAUUUCCAGAAGGAGUAGAAAGCCAGAGACCCCAGGUUGGGCUUGUGUGUGUUCUGUGGUGCACAGCUAGCUCUCAGGAGGCCUGGCUCAGCCUGAAAUGAGCCAGGGCAUCCUGAGCCUGCACUCCCCACCCGCCGGUGACAGGGCAGUGGACUGGGCCAUGGCUGUUUGUCUUUCUCAAGCCUCAGAGCAGGACCAGGAGGUGUGAGCAUUUCCUGUAUCUGUGCUGGGUGCCAUAGCUUCACUGGGAAGGAGGCCCACUUGCAGGUGAGGAAGGCCCACUUGCAGGUGAGGAAGUGAAGGCCUGGGCCGGCCUAAGGAGAAGCCGGCCCAGGUGCUGGCAGUAGAGCCCCUGGCUCUGGGCGGGCUGGCCCCCAGGGCCAUGUGUUGGGUACAAACCUACUCCACCUCCAUGGUCAGCCCCACGGUCACCACCACUGAUGCCUUCGGCAGCAGACAUCACGACAUGCAAUCCACGUGGUGGUCCUCACCAUGCCGCUGGGGAGACAGGCCUAGAGGGGCUCAGGGCUCAUUCUUGCUCAGCAUCCGGGUGUUAGGGAGUGGCCGAGCCAGGAUUUCAGACACAACGUCUAUAAGCCCGUGCCCCAGGGGCGUGCCUUUGGUUGGUCUGCCUCUCCCCGGAGGGGGCGUGCUCCGGUCCCGGAGAGCCUGAAGCAGGGGUUGAAUGGAGAAGUGAGGUGGGAGGUGGUCUCAGGAGUGGUGCCCUCGUGGGUCCUGGGGCUCUGCCUGCGGGGGGCUCCAGAGAGGGUGCAGAUAUGGCCCAGGGGCUCUCUUGAGGGGAGGAGGCCAGUGCUCUCCGGCCAGUCCUGUCUCUCAGCAGGUGAGGGUGCUUGGGGCCUUGGCUCCUGGCACUUCCCUCUGAGUGGGAAGUGAGAGCCUUCUUGUGUGGGGCCCGUCUGCUUGAGCUGCAGGUGAUGACGUCCAGGGUGGCUGGGGUGGGCGGCUGGGCACUGAGAGGGUCUGUUGCAGGCAGGGCGGCUUACAGCCACCUGGCCUGAGUCUCGGUUUCGGGGGAGGCCGUCACCCUUUUUGCAUCCUGCUCCUGGACGUGGGGGUGAUGUGCCUUGUCUCGCAGAGCGGUUGGAGGGUUGAAUGUGGUAAUGUGCCUGUAGCGCCCUGCUUGGGCCUAGUACUUUGUUAGGCCCUGUUUUCUUUGUCCCUCUUUCGUGUCAGCUCCACCUGGAACAUCUUGGGUUUGUUGCUGCGUGAAAGACCCUCUGGACUCAGUGCCUUGAAACAAGACUGUUACUAUAGCCUGCUGUAGUGUCUGCUGUCGCUGGUCUCGGCCAAACCCCCACGCGCCUGCGGGUCAAGUGGAGGCUUCAGGCCUGGCUGGGCUGAGCGGGGCAGCUCUGCUCCAGGUGUCUCUCCUCGUGCUGCGACGUGUGGGCUAGCCAGGGAAUGUCCCCCUCUCGGUGGCGGCAGAAGUAUGCAGAGUUCUGUGGCUUUGCCUCUUGCUUGGCCACAGCGAGCCACUGAUUGUGCCCAGCAUCAGAGAGAGGCGCUGCCUUCUUCAGGAGGAGCUGUGAGGCCACAUGGCAGAGUGUGGGUGGGGCAUGGUGGAGAACGGGGGCUCCCACUGCUGUCCACCAUAGUGUCCCCUAUGAUUCACUGGCUUGUCCCGUCCUGAGGGUCCUUUGUCAGAGGAUACUUUUUAAGAGGAGCCUCCACUGACUUUGCUGGGCCCUCAUAGGAGGUGGGGCCUCUCCCUCGUGGGUGGAGCCGCAGCAUCUGCCUGGUGGACCGGCACCCUCUUGGGAGGGGUUUGUGUGUAGGGGCCUGGACUUGUGUCAACAUCUGUGAUCCCAGGAACUCAAAGCCCAGGAGAGUUUCCUGCUUGGAGCUUGAGGGCCAGAGGUGUGGUGGCCGUGUCAGGCCCGCCAGACUUGAAGGAAGAGCUCGGCUGGAGGUCUGGGCCCCAGAUCCUAGGGGCCUCAUCAGACAGGGACUGUGGGAAGCCAGGGCUGUCAGGUGUGCUACAGACACCUUGUCAUCUCAGUGGGGGUGUGUGUGUGUGUGUGCUGUGUCCAGCAGGGGCACAGAUGCUGGCAUGGGGAGCUCUGUGGGCCGAGAAGCUAAGUUCCCUCAGUGGUGGGGGGCAGUCCCAGCUGCUUCCUCCCUCUGCCUCAGCCUCAUUCCAUCCCCAGCUGUGGGGGCUUCAGGGUGAGAGCUGAGGCCUGGAAGUGAGAACACGUGGCUCAGAGCCUUGGUUUUGCUGCCUAUUUGCUUUGUAAGCUUUGGAGGAGUGUAUGUAUAUUGUAUGUGUAUGUGUGUUUAUCUGUAACGUGUAUGUGUGCAGUGUUUGUAUACAUAUGUGUUAUCUUUGUGUGUGGUAUGUGUGUUG